UGUUAGGUGGCUGAGUUAAGGCAAUAGACUGUAGAUCUAUUAACGGAGUUAAUUCUCCCCAACAA
rnacentral:tRNA from 1 species